rnacentral:lncRNA from 1 species
GUCCUGGUCAUAGCCAUUGCAAUGGUGUCGACAGUGAGGGCCGGGGAAUGUAAGAUGAUCUGUAACGACGAGGUCAGAAUCUGCAAGCUGGAGUUUUGCCUAAGUCACAGUGACAAAUUUUGCAAGAGGAAGUGCAAUAAGAUCAAGAAAGACUGCAUGGCGCUAUGCAAAUAUGAUUUUAAACGUAUUGCGCAUGCACCUAAUGAGGCCGAAG